rnacentral:rRNA from 1 species
AGGAUGAACGCUGGCGGCGUGCCUAAUACAUGCAAGUCGAGCGGUAAGGCCCCUUCGGGGGUACACGAGCGGCGGACGGCUGAGUAACACGCAGGAACGUACCCCAAACUGAGGGAUAAGCACCAGAAAUGGUGUCUAAUACCGCAUGUGAUCUUCGGAUUAAAGCUUCGGCGGUUUGGGAACGGCCUGCGCAUGAUUAGCUUGUUGGUGAGGUAAAAGCUCACCAAGGCGACGAUCAUUAGCUGGUCUGAGAGGAUGAUCAGCCUCACUGGGACUGAGACACGGCCCAGACUCCUACGGGAGGCAGCAGUGGGGAAUAUUGGACAAUGGGCGCAAGCCUGAUCCAGCCAUGCCGCGUGGAUGAUGAAGGCCCUAGGGUUGUAAAGUCCUUUCGACGGGGAAGAUAAUGACGGUACCCGUAGAAGAAGCCCCGGCUAACUUCGUGCCAGCAGCCGC